rnacentral:rRNA from 1 species
GGGGGGAGCAAGCGUUGUUCGGAUUUACUGGGCGUAAAGGGCGCGUAGGCGGCCACCGCAAGUCAAUUGUGAAAUCUCCGGGCUUAACUCGGAAAGGUCAACUGAUACUGCGGGGCUAGAGUGCAGAAGGGGCAACUGGAAUUCUCGGUGUAGCGGUGAAAUGCGUAGAUAUCGAGAGGAACACCUGCGGCGAAGGCGGGUUGCUGGGCUGACACUGACGCUGAGGCGCGAAAGCUAGGGGAGCGAACGGGAUUAGAUACCCCGGUAGUCCUAGCCUUAAACGAUGAAUGCUUGGUGUCUGGGGUUUUAAAGUCCCCGGGUGCCGUCGCUAACGCUUUAAGCAUUCCGCCUGGGGAGUACGGUCGCAAGACUGAA